CUAGGAAUAUUGGACAAUGGGCGAAAGCCUGAUCCAGCAACACCGCGUGGAGGACGAAGGCCUUCGGGUCGUAAACUCCUUUUUGGGGGGUAUGAGAAAGGACAGUACCCCCGAGAAUAAGGCCCGGCUAACUACGUGCCAGCAGCCGCGGUAAUACGUAGGGGCCAAGCGUUAUCCGGAUUUACUGGGCGUAAAGCGCAUGUAGGCGGUUUACUAAGUCGGACGUGAAAGCCCCUGGCUCAACUAGGGGAGGCUGUUCGAAACUAGUAGACUAGAGGGUGGUAGAGGAGAGCGGAAUUCCAGGUGUAGCGGUGAAAUGCGUAGAUAUCUGGAGGAACACCAGUGGCGAAAGCGGCUCUCUGGCCCACUCCUGACGCUGAGAUGCGAAAGCCAGGGGAGAGA
rnacentral:rRNA from 1 species